UACAGAGGUCUCGAGCGUUGUUCGGAUUCAUUGGGCGUAAAGGGUGCGUAGGCGGCGGGGUAAGUCUGAUGUGAAAUCCCGGGGCUCAACUCCGGAACUGCAUUGGAUACUGCCUUGCUUGAGAGCUGGAGAGGAAACUGGAAUUUACGGUGUAGCAGUGAAAUGCGUAGAGAUCGUAAGGAAGACCAGUGGCGAAGGCGAGUUUCUGGACAGCUACUGACGCUGAGGCACGAAGGCCAGGGGAGCAAACGGG
rnacentral:rRNA from 1 species